rnacentral:rRNA from 1 species
AUGAACGCUAGCUACAGGCUUAACACAUGCAAGUCGAGGGGCAGCAUUUUAGUUUGCUUGCAAACUGAAGAUGGCGACCGGCGCACGGGUGAGUAACACGUAUCCAACCUGCCGAUAACUCCGGGAUAGCCUUUCGAAAGAAAGAUUAAUACCGGAUAGCAUACGAAUAUCGCAUGAUAUUUUUAUUAAAGAAUUUCGGUUAUCGAUGGGGAUGCGUUCCAUUAGUUUGUUGGCGGGGUAACGGCCCACCAAGACAACGAUGGAUAGGGGUUCUGAGAGGAAGGUCCCCCACAUUGGAACUGAGACACGGUCCAAACUCCUACGGGAGGCAGCAGUGAGGAAUAUUGGUCAAUGGGCGAGAGCCUGAACCAGCCAAGUAGCGUGAAGGAUGAAGGCUCUAUGGGUCGUAAACUUCUUUUAUAUGGGAAUAAAGUUUUCCACGUGUGGAAUUUUGUAUGUACCAUAUGAAUAAGGAUCGGCUAACUCCGUGCCAGCAGCCGCGGUAAUACGGAGGAUCCGAGCGUUAUCCGGAUUUAUUGGGUUUAAAGGGAGCGUAGGUGGAUUGUUAAGUCAGUUGUGAAAGUUUGCGGCUCAACCGUAAAAUUGCAGUUGAAACUGGGAGUCUUGAGUACAGUAGAGGUGGGCGGAAUUCGUGGUGUAGCGGUGAAAUGCUUAGAUAUCACGAAGAACUCCGAUUGCGAAGGCAGCUCACUAGACUGUCACUGACACUGAUGCUCGAAAGUGUGGGUAUCAAACAGGAUUAGAUACCCUGGUAGUCCACACAGUAAACGAUGAAUACUCGCUGUUUGCGAUAUACAGUAAGCGGCCAAGCGAAAGCAUUAAGUAUUCCACCUGGGGAGUACGCCGGCAACGGUGAAACUCAAAGGAAUUGACGGGGGCCCGCACAAGCGGAGGAACAUGUGGUUUAAUUCGAUGAUACGCGAGGAACCUUACCCGGGCUUAAAUUGCAACAGAAUAUAUUGGAAACAGUAUAGCCGUAAGGCUGUUGUGAAGGUGCUGCAUGGUUGUCGUCAGCUCGUGCCGUGAGGUGUCGGCUUAAGUGCCAUAACGAGCGCAACCCUUAUCUUUAGUUACUAACAGGUUAUGCUGAGGACUCUAGAGAGACUGCCGUCGUAAGAUGUGAGGAAGGUGGGGAUGACGUCAAAUCAGCACGGCCCUUACGUCCGGGGCUACACACGUGUUACAAUGGGGGGUACAGAAGGCGGCUACCUGGUGACAGGAUGCUAAUCCCAAAAACCUCUCUCAGUUCGGAUCGAAGUCUGCAACCCGACUUCGUGAAGCUGGAUUCGCUAGUAAUCGCGCAUCAGCCAUGGCGCGGUGAAUACGUUCCCGGGCCUUGUACACACCGCCCGUCAAGCCAUGAAAGCCGGGGGUACCUGAAGUACGUAACCGCAAGGAGCGUCCUAGGGUAAAACUGGUAAUUGGGGCU